rnacentral:rRNA from 1 species
CCUACGGGCGGCAGCAGUGAGGAAUAUUUGUCAAUGGGAGAGAUCCUGAACCAGCCAAGCCGCGUGAGGGAAGACGGCCCUAUGGGUUGUAAACCUCUUUUGUCGGAGAACAAAACCCGGGACGUGUCCCGGACUGCGUGUAUCCGAAGAAAAAGCAUCGGCUAACUCCGUGCCAGCAGCCGCGGUAAUACGGAGGAUGCAAGCGUUAUCCGGAUUUAUUGGGUUUAAAGGGUGCGUAGGCGGUCCGUUAAGUAAGCGGUAAAAUUCCGGGGCUCAACUCCGACGUGCCGUUGAUACUGGCAGACUUGAGUUGAGUAGAGGUACGCGGAAUGCGCGGUGUAGCGGUGAAAUGCAUAGAUAUCGCGCAGAACUCCGAUUGCGAAGGCAGCGUACCGGCGCAAGUCUGACGCUGAGGCACGAAAGCGUGGGGAUCGAACAGGAUUAGAUACCCGAGUAGUC